GGUCCGAUGGUGUAGUUGGUUUAUCACAUCUGCUUCACACGUUUUUGACGCAGGCGGUCCUCGGUUCGAUCCCGGGUCGGAUCA